AUAUUUACCUAGCAGGGAAGAUACUGUGACCAUAAAGGUGGUUUUCCCAGGACAAGGCUUAUCUGUUGCACUCCUGAUGUGCUGACCCCUGAGAUUUCCCAAAAUGUGGGAAAAUCGACAGCAUAAUUUGUGGUAGUCGGGGAUUGCAUGAACACUCUCCCCUG